rnacentral:rRNA from 1 species
GGGUUGUGAGGUUAAGCGACUAAGCGUACACGGUGGAUGCCCUGGCAGUCAGAGGCGAUGAAGGACGUGCUAAUCUGCGAUAAGCGUCGGUAAGGUGAUAUGAACCGUUAUAACCGGCGAUUUCCGAAUGGGGAAACCCAGUGUGAUUCGUCAUACUAUCAUUAACUGAAUCCAUAGGUUAAUGAGGCGAACCGGGGGAACUGAAACAUCUAAGUACCCCGAGGAAAAGAAAUCAACCGAGAUUCCCCCAGUAGCGGCGAGCGAACGGGGAGGAGCCCAGAGCCUGAAUCAGUGUGUGUGUUAGUGGAAGCGUCUGGAAAGGCGCGCGAUACAGGGUGACAGCCCCGUACACAAAAAUGCACAUACUGUGAGCUCGAUGAGUAGGGCGGGACACGUGGUAUCCUGUCUGAAUAUGGGGGGACCAUCCUCCAAGGCUAAAUACUCCUGACUGACCGAUAGUGAACCAGUACCGUGAGGGAAAGGCGAAAAGAACCCCGGCGAGGGGAGUGAAAAAGAACCUGAAACCGUGUACGUACAAGCAGUGGGAGCCUCUUUAUGGGGUGACUGCGUACCUUUUGUAUAAUGGGUCAGCGACUUAUAUUCUGUAGCAAGGUUAACCGAAUAGGGGAGCCGAAGGGAAACCGAGUCUUAACUGGGCGUUAAGUUGCAGGGUAUAGACCCGAAACCCGGUGAUCUAGCCAUGGGCAGGUUGAAGGUUGGGUAACACUAACUGGAGGACCGAACCGACUAAUGUUGAAAAAUUAGCGGAUGACUUGUGGCUGGGGGUGAAAGGCCAAUCAAACCGGGAGAUAGCUGGUUCUCCCCGAAAGCUAUUUAGGUAGCGCCUCGUGAAUUCAUCUCCGGGGGUAGAGCACUGUUUCGGCAAGGGGGUCAUCCCGACUUACCAACCCGAUGCAAACUGCGAAUACCGGAGAAUGUUAUCACGGGAGACACACGGCGGGUGCUAACGUCCGUCGUGAAGAGGGAAACAACCCAGACCGCCAGCUAAGGUCCCAAAGUCAUGGUUAAGUGGGAAACGAUGUGGGAAGGCCCAGACAGCCAGGAUGUUGGCUUAGAAGCAGCCAUCAUUUAAAGAAAGCGUAAUAGCUCACUGGUCGAGUCGGCCUGCGCGGAAGAUGUAACGGGGCUAAACCAUGCACCGAAGCUGCGGCAGCGACACUAUGUGUUGUUGGGUAGGGGAGCGUUCUGUAAGCCUGCGAAGGUGUACUGUGAGGUAUGCUGGAGGUAUCAGAAGUGCGAAUGCUGACAUAAGUAACGAUAAAGCGGGUGAAAAGCCCGCUCGCCGGAAGACCAAGGGUUCCUGUCCAACGUUAAUCGGGGCAGGGUGAGUCGACCCCUAAGGCGAGGCCGAAAGGCGUAGUCGAUGGGAAACAGGUUAAUAUUCCUGUACUUGGUGUUACUGCGAAGGGGGGACGGAGAAGGCUAUGUUGGCCGGGCGACGGUUGUCCCGGUUUAAGCGUGUAGGCUGGUUUUCCAGGCAAAUCCGGAAAAUCAAGGCUGAGGCGUGAUGACGAGGCACUACGGUGCUGAAGCAACAAAUGCCCUGCUUCCAGGAAAAGCCUCUAAGCAUCAGGUAACAUCAAAUCGUACCCCAAACCGACACAGGUGGUCAGGUAGAGAAUACCAAGGCGCUUGAGAGAACUCGGGUGAAGGAACUAGGCAAAAUGGUGCCGUAACUUCGGGAGAAGGCACGCUGAUAUGUAGGUGAAGCGACUUGCUCGUGGAGCUGAAAUCAGUCGAAGAUACCAGCUGGCUGCAACUGUUUAUUAAAAACACAGCACUGUGCAAACACGAAAGUGGACGUAUACGGUGUGACGCCUGCCCGGUGCCGGAAGGUUAAUUGAUGGGGUUAGCGGUAACGCGAAGCUCUUGAUCGAAGCCCCGGUAAACGGCGGCCGUAACUAUAACGGUCCUAAGGUAGCGAAAUUCCUUGUCGGGUAAGUUCCGACCUGCACGAAUGGCGUAAUGAUGGCCAGGCUGUCUCCACCCGAGACUCAGUGAAAUUGAACUCGCUGUGAAGAUGCAGUGUACCCGCGGCAAGACGGAAAGACCCCGUGAACCUUUACUAUAGCUUGACACUGAACAUUGAGCCUUGAUGUGUAGGAUAGGUGGGAGGCUUUGAAGUGUGGACGCCAGUCUGCAUGGAGCCGACCUUGAAAUACCACCCUUUAAUGUUUGAUGUUCUAACGUUGACCCGUAAUCCGGGUUGCGGACAGUGUCUGGUGGGUAGUUUGACUGGGGCGGUCUCCUCCUAAAGAGUAACGGAGGAGCACGAAGGUUGGCUAAUCCUGGUCGGACAUCAGGAGGUUAGUGCAAUGGCAUAAGCCAGCUUGACUGCGAGCGUGACGGCGCGAGCAGGUGCGAAAGCAGGUCAUAGUGAUCCGGUGGUUCUGAAUGGAAGGGCCAUCGCUCAACGGAUAAAAGGUACUCCGGGGAUAACAGGCUGAUACCGCCCAAGAGUUCAUAUCGACGGCGGUGUUUGGCACCUCGAUGUCGGCUCAUCACAUCCUGGGGCUGAAGUAGGUCCCAAGGGUAUGGCUGUUCGCCAUUUAAAGUGGUACGCGAGCUGGGUUUAGAACGUCGUGAGACAGUUCGGUCCCUAUCUGCCGUGGGCGCUGGAGAACUGAGGGGGGCUGCUCCUAGUACGAGAGGACCGGAGUGGACGCAUCACUGGUGUUCGGGUUGUCAUGCCAAUGGCACUGCCCGGUAGCUAAAUGCGGAAGAGAUAAGUGCUGAAAGCAUCUAAGCACGAAACUUGCCCCGAGAUGAGUUCUCCCUGACUCCUUGAGAGUCCUGAAGGAACGUUGAAGACGACGACGUUGAUAGGCCGGGUGUGUAAGCGCAGCGAUGCGUUGAGCUAACCGGUACUAAUGAACCGUGAGGCUUAACCUUACAACGCCGAAG